UAAUACGAAGGGACCUAGCGUAGUUCGGAAUUACUGGGCUUAAAGAGUUCGUAGGUGGUUAAAAAAGUUGGUGGUGAAAUCCCAGAGCUUAACUCUGGAACUGCCAUCAAAACUUUUUAGUUAGAGUAUGAUAGAGGAAAGUAGAAUUUCUAGUGUAGAGGUGAAAUUCGUAGAUAUUAGAAAGAAUACCAAUUGCGAAGGCAGCUUUCUGGAUCAUUACUGACACUGAGGAACGAAAGCAUGGGUAGCGAAGAGGAUUAGAUACCCUCGUAGUCCAUGCCGUAAACGAUGUGUGCUAGACGUUGGAAAUUUAUUUUCAGUGUCGCAGCAAAAGCGUUAAGCACACCGCCUGGGGAGUACGACCGCAAGGUUA
rnacentral:rRNA from 1 species